CCGACGUUGACAAAUUUGAAACAGUUUUUUGUUUUAUUCACCGUAUGUGGAACGGUAUUUUGAAACUCGUAGUAGCAACAUUCCUAUUUCUUUCAUUGUCUAGUUAUCAAGGAGUAGUAGGAGUAGGAAUAAUGGUAAUUUUUUCACUUUCUCAAUAUUUUUUUUUCACGAGAGCUGCGCUUCGAAGACACAAAAUGACUAGAGAAAGAGACAACCGGAUCCGUAUAAUGAACGAUAUUAUUUUUAGAAUGAGAGAAAUUAAAACGUAUGCCUGGGAGACGCCUUUCGCUGAACUCAUAAAUAAUAUUAGAAGAUGUGAACUUAACCAUAUGAGAAAAUUGAAUCACAUCUUAAACGAAAACUUUACGAUUGCGACGUACAUUCACAAAAUAUCUGUCUACGUGUUUGUUUUACUUUUAACAACGACUGGUACUCCUUUA